ACCAUCAUUGUCUUGAUCUUUCAAUUGUACUCGACACUGCAAGAGAUUCAACUAGUCCGUCUUACCAAUGGCGACUUAUUCCAAUACCUGUUCGAUAUUCUCAACGCACAGUAUCAGUACGAAUGAGUAUGUCACAUAACCCUACGUCUAACGCAACGAGUAAUCUAAGACCAAGUGUGUUGUAACUCGCGCAGAGCGAUACGUGUGAUAAAAUCGAGUCCAGAUAGAUUAUAACAUGCUGAGCAACGUGUAAUGAAACGUGAACUUUAUGCACACAUCGUCAUGAAACAUUAGAACUCCUGGAGCGCUGCCAGUCGCAAUGAACAUGUCAUAUAAACAAGUCGUUACUACCGGUGCUUCUAGUAUAACUAAGUAUCUAUCUGUUACAUGAAAAAGUAAACGAAGUGGAGUGUAAAUUAUGAGAUACGUAUUUACGUGGCUCAGUCACUUUGUGACGCUCAUCCGAGUCUCCAAAUAGACGAGGACUGCCAAGAUUAUCAGCGACUGAGGCUGCCAAAACUAAUCAGUACUUCGAUCCAGAUCUCCAGGAUGAUCGAGAUUUCAGAACUAGCAGAGACUUUAAAGACGUUCUACUAGUAACGAAUAAUAAUUAGAUCGAGGAAAAAGUUGAAGGAAACUUCACAUUUUUACAGAGUCUGCACGUUGCCAGGAUUGGCGUGACAUCCGUUUUGUCGAGAGGUGACUCUUGGUCACCACCAAGUUUGACGCAGUAAAUCAACCAGCAAUAAUGUUUGUUUAGGUUUCAUUUCUUUUGACCUGAAAGUUUCAUAAAUAUGUAGAAUGAUUGUCGGUGAAGUAAAGAUGAUCUGAUUCUCAAAUCUCAAUUUAGAGAUCUCAUCUUCGAAGUCAAUCUAAGCUUAGCAUUCGUGGCAAUAGAGUGCUAAGAAACCAUCUCGAGUUGCUGGUAGAUACCAGAAAAAAGGGCUCGAAUGCAAAGGGUUAAUACAACGUAUAAUCGAACGCGUGAACCCGAGACUACACCUAAAGCGGAGUUCAAACAACCCUUCGAUUCUCGCCUCUCUAUUUCGAUGUAAAUUCGGCUUUAUGUGUCGAAUUACUCGUUGCAUUACACCCGGGCUCUAUCCAACCCCGGUCCCAGAACGGUGGAUCAAUUCGGAACGUGUUUCUCGUGCCCGGAGCGUGCUUCUUCGUGAGCAGGACGCCCAACAGUAUCGACUGGGAACGCUAAGCCACGGCUAUCGAAACGCGAAAUGUUUUCACUCGGUUCGGCACGAAAAGCGCGCGCUAAUGAAUUUGGGAAGGGCUUGCAAACAUUCGCUGAUUGCUCGACUCGUAUCCGCACAGACAAACAUUGCUCUCGCGGCGCACCAGGAAUACAGCAGCGCAAAACAACUCUGUUCCGCGCCGACUGAACCCUAACAUUGUUCUCUAUCCGUGUUUGAGACGGAUAGAGGGUAGGCCUCGUAGCGUCGACCAAUUUCUGAGACUGGACUGAGCUGCAGGGAUCUGUAGAUGACGCGAACUUUGCAGAUGCUAUAAGAGAACGCAACUCUAUGACGCAGAUUAUAUGGAUAUGAUGAGCACUCAUUAGACACGAGCUCUGUGGACGUGGUACAAGCUCUAUAAAUAUGCCACGAACUUUAUAAAUGUCACACCAACGCUGUAGAUGCGGCACAAAGUGAAUGAAUCGGGAAAAGUAAAGCUAGUGGCGACGGCACUCGAGCAAACUUGUCUCUUAGCAACGAUUUUUUUGAAAAUAAUGGGCCACCAGGCCAGGUUUUUGCCUGUCGUGUAUUUCUCUUCCAGAUGUGUAGUUCCAUAUUUAUACAAUAUAUGUAGGCCCUGGUCAUAAAUCUUUGCCGCGAUUAUCAUAUUCGCAGACGUGCCACAUACUACACAUAAAUAUGUACUAGACACGAUGCAUAUACUAGACCAAGAACACACGCGUCAUGUUCACUAUAAAUAUCGUAUAUUCAAUCCACAUAUUCAUAAAGUAUUAAGUGAACGCUGUACAGGCAAUUGUAAUGUUAAGCGCACCGAAAAAGUACCAUCAGGUACGAUGGAAUAAAGGAUGACUAAUUAACACAUUCGCGACCGGCAGAUAUUUUACGUUUCUAAUACCGAGUACUGACCAACAUGAUACAAUUCUGAAGAUCGUUAGGGCGAAGAUAAAAAUUACAAAAUAUGUUUUGAAAUAUCAAUGUUAUAAAUAUGUGGUGUAUACAAUAAAAAGAUUCUCAUAAUUUUGUUACAACCAGGAAUAGAAUUUGAAGUGACGUGAAUUCACGUCAGCGGUCGCGAAUGUGUUAAGAUUGUGAAUCAAAUGAAGCACUACUGAAUGAGACUAUCCUGCGAGACCCACCGUUAUCGACCUGUGCGCGAACUUCAGGAAACGUUCAUCAACAAAUAACGCUACUGUAAAAAAGAAAAUGUUUCGAUUCUUCCCAAGUAAAUAUUAUUUUUCGUCGUUCCACGCAAAACACACGAGCCGAAUACUUUACAAACAUUUGCUGGGUAAACGUUCUCUUCUACGUCUUUUUCCGUCAACUGAGCACAAUCAUAAAAUUAUUCAAUCAGGGCGGCGCAUACUUUACGAGCGUUAGGUAUCUUUCAGGGAUCGAUUAAUUAAGUAUACCUUAUUCAGCGCUUCGCAACGCGAGAUGUAUGUAUGUACGUCAGGAGGACAAUUAAUAAAUUAUGUUGCAAUCAUUGCUGACAGAAACAAAAA